CGGAAGCGGCCCCGGAGGGCCCAUUGUCCGCGCUUCCGUUCCGGCUCCGCCUCGUCCUCCCGCGGCCAGAGGUGCGACCUCUGAGCCCCUGGCCAGCUCCCAGCCGGCCUAGGGGGGCGGGGGCACGGGGCGGAGGUCCCGCAGCCCGUGCUCGUCCCGCCUCGCUUGGAGGGAGCAAGGGCUCCGAGCCCUGGGCCCAGGUCCUGUGCCUCCGCUUCCCCGGCUGCGGGUACACCCCCAGCUUCCCGAGCCCCCCGGGCCCUCGCUGCUCCACCCAGAAGUUGCGGUGACUGCGGCCCCAGCACCCCGUUCCCUGGCCGGGCAUCACUUGCGCAGCAUGCUGCCCCCAGAGGACAGGGCUACAGUUAGUCGCCCACACCUCAUUCACCCCCUUGGGCCCUUGAGCGUCUUAGAAGCCGCAGAUGCCAAGGAGGGGACGCUGCCUCGCGGAUGGUCACUUGGGAGCAAAGCUGGGGACUAAAGGAACCAGGGACAGAGAUUCCUGCUCUCGCCAAAUUGGCCGCUCUGGGCCAGGCACUGAGGACACACCGCGAAGCCGGAUAGCCAGGUCCUGUCCUCAGGGCCCUGUCCGGAAGAGGACUGGGCAGCCUCGAGUCCGCGGCAAUGAAUGAAUGUUCAAUUGCAC
rnacentral:lncRNA from 1 species